UGCAACAACAACUUCAAAUCUUAGAUAUAAAGUCCCUAGUAAUAUAUCAAUAAUGUAUAAUCCUCUUUGAAAUAAUUCUAUUUUAUCAACACAUAGUAGUCAAAUUUUUAUACUAUAAAAUAAAUGUACGAUAAUAAAUCUAUACAAGUAUUUUAAGAGUGGUAACGUCUCUUAGAGAGAAGGGAUUUUUUACUCCUUGCA
rnacentral:lncRNA from 1 species